CAUUUUGCGACACCGAACCUUGCCUUCGCACAAUGGUCAAAAAAGUAACAGGCAAGGGCGGGGGAACCACUUUUGGCUAGCCAUAUGGCCAGCCUUGGGGUGAAGCCCAAUCUCUUAAGCAUCACGACGUCGUGACGCUUUCCAUCGGAAAGCGCCAUGGAUAGACGUGUGCCAAGAGCCUGGGCCGGAUCAAAAGCAACACUCUCUGAUCCGAAUCCGACAGCUAACUCCGCAGGUGAACCACAGAGAGGUAAU
rnacentral:sRNA from 2 species